UACGUAGGGAGCGAGCGUUGUCCGGAUUUAUUGGGCGUAAAGAGCUCGUAGGCGGUUUGUCGCGUCGGCUGUGAAAACUCGGGGCUCAACCCCGAGCCUGCAGUCGAUACGGGCAGACUAGAGUGCGGUAGGGGAGACUGGAAUUCCUGGUGUAGCGGUGAAAUGCGCAGAUAUCAGGAGGAACACCGGUGGCGAAGGCGGGUCUCUGGGCCGUAACUGACGCUGAGGAGCGAAAGCGUGGGGAGCAAACAGG
rnacentral:rRNA from 1 species